CGUCCCUUCGGGGCAAUUCGAUAAAAUUGGAACAAUACAGAGAAGAUUAGCAUAGUCCCUGCGCAAGGAUGGCACGCACAAAUCAAGAAAUGGUCCAAAUUUUU